rnacentral:rRNA from 1 species
CCACAGGCCGUAAACCCAAGGUUUCCAGGGGAAGGUUCGUCCGCCCUGGGUUAGUCGGGACCUAAGCUGAGGCCGAAAGGCGUAGGUGAUGGACAACAGGUUGAUAUUCCUGUACUACCGAUAACCGGUUGAGAGAAGGGAUGACACAGUAGGAUAAGCUAAGCACACUGUUGGUUAUGUGUGCCCAAGCAUUGAGGCAGUCAAAGUAGGCAAAUCCGCUUUGAUAAUGCUGGGAUGUGAUGGGGAGCGAAAUUUAGUAGCGAAGUAGCUGAUUUCACACUGUCAAGAAAAGUCUCUAUCGAGGUUAAAGGUACCCGUACCGCAAACCGACACAGGUGGGUGAGGAGAGUAUCC